GUGUUGUUCGUGUAGUGGCAAGCAAAGCUGCCUUCCAAGCAGUUGACCUGGGUUCGAUUCCCGGCCGACGCA
rnacentral:tRNA from 1 species